rnacentral:lncRNA from 1 species
GCUUUCAGAAGUGAAGGGGAAGGAGAAAUCUUUUGUAAUUCAUACUUCUGGAGAAAAAACAACAAAUGUGGGAAAUCAGGCUGUUAAUAUUAGUUAUAAUGUGACUCACACAGUGUAUAAUCUCUCCAGUAGUACAGGCAGCAAAAGCAGAGACAAAGAAACAGAUGUGCAAACUUCCUACCAGUUAAAUCCCAGCUAUUUAAUCAACAGCAGGACUUGUCCUUUGUUUCAUGAUAAUUUCCUAUCUCAGAAACAUCUCGACAGGAGGACGUGAAAAGGAGCUGCAUGUGCGCGUUCAUCCCCUAGAAGAGGAGGGGAUGCAGCCUGCUAAGGGGAAUGGAAACAAGUGUUUUGCCUGUUUUGGAAAAGCGGUGAUAUUGAAGGUAAGAGACAUGAGGACCUGCCAUGCAAUGAUAGCUAACUUGAGAGAACGUAAGAUCUGUGGCCAUGGGUUAACCCUAGCAGAAGACAGCAUCCUAUCUCCAGUGUGGACAACAGGAGAGGGCAGAAUUUGCAAUUUCAGUUCCUCUACGGCUUGAUAAACAGUUACCUCAAUAAAGGCACUUUCAGAC